AGCUCCAGUAGCGUAUAUUAAAGCUGCUGCAGUUAAAAAGCUCGUAGUCGGAUCUCUGGCUUGGGCGAGCGGUCCGUCGCAAGGCGUGUACUGCUCGUGUCCCGGCCAGUCUACCGGUUAGCCGCGCGGUGCUCUUAACUGAGUGCCGUGCGCGGCCGGAACGUUUACUUUGAGAAAAUUGGAGUGUUCAAAGCAGGCACAACCGCCUGAACAGCUCAGCAUGGAAUAAUGGAAGAGGACCUCGGUUCUAUUUCGUUGGUCUCCGGAACGCGAGGUAAUGAUCAAAAGGGACAGACGGGGGCAUUCGUACUGCGGUGUGAGAGGUGAAAUUCUUGGAUCGCCGCAAGACGCCCAAAAGCGAAAGCAUUUGCCAAGAAUGUCUUCA
rnacentral:rRNA from 1 species